rnacentral:rRNA from 1 species
UACGUAGGGGGCGAGCGUUGUCCGGAUUUAUUGGGCGUAAAGAGCGUGUAGGCAGCCUUGCAAGUCCGUUGUGAAAACUCGAGGCUCAACCUCGAGACGCCGGUGGAAACUGCAAAGCUAGAGUCCGGAAGAGGAGAGUGGAAUUCCUGGUGUAGCGGUGAAAUGCGCAGAUAUCAGGAGGAACACCCGUGGCGAAAGCGGCUCUCUGGGACGGUACUGACGCUGAGACGCGAAAGCGUGGGGAGCAAACAGG